rnacentral:lncRNA from 1 species
GCAUCAAAAUGGUAUAAUCGUCUGUUUGUAUAUAAAAAAAAAAUAAUCAUCUUUCUUCGUAUAAAUCCACCAUUGGAUCACACCACCAUAGAUUUCAAAGCACUUUGAACUCCAUUGAUCUCAAAGCAAGCGGUGGAUGAUCCAUUGGUGGAUUCUCGCGAAGGAAGGGAAAUCUUCCUUUUGUGCGAAAGAUACAACUAGUUCCCUAUGAAACGGUUGC